AUAAAUUGAAGUUUUUGUUUGGAGUCGAUGUGGGACUGCUGCAACUACCCACGACCCGGUCUCUUCUCUGGCUUAAUGAGUCCUGGUUGUUUGGUAAUUUCAUUGGAGACCUGUUCACUCCUUGAUGAACCUCUUCAUCGUCGUCUCUGGUAAUGGUGGUAGUGGACAUGCUCUGACUCAGGCUGCAAAUCUCUGAUUCCCGUUAGACGUCUCCAUUGUUAUUGUAAAUGGAGGAUUUUGUUACUGAGAUGGAGAGACUAAAAGGUUUGGCAUUGGUUCUCCUGAGGGUCCUAUAUCUCUUGAUGGUUUUUGAAGUCUUCAACUGUCAAACACGGAAUUGAGGAAGCAAUUAGAAAAUCAUGUUGUUACAAUUGAUACAUUGCACAAUGAGAAUCGUCUGGCUGUUCAGUGUCAUGAAAACGAAAAGAAAGUAUUGAAAGAAUCAGUUGCAAGAGCUUAUCUUGAUGAACUCAAUUAGUUGCAUCACAUUCUGGAGAUUAAACAGAAGUUGCUUGUAGAGGUCAAUAGAAUAUCUGCACAAACAAAACAUGCUAUUGAAGACUUUAAUGAAAGGCUCAAUGGUACAAAGCUGUCAUGUUCUGAAGCAAAUGAAAUAGCGAAUAGGUAACAAGGAGAAGAAUAAAUUUUACGGUUGAUAACAGUGAGCCGAGCCCGACGGGGCAGUGGAUUGGAUUCUCUGUCUCCUCCUGUAGUCUUGUAUCUGAAAAGUUCAUGACCUACAAAACAAGGUGGGUAUUCUUCAAUUCAACUCUCUGGUAAGUGGUUAAUUUUAAAAUGGGAAAGAAGUUGAAGUGGUGAGAGUUAUGUGUGUGUGAUAUCUGCCGCCACCUCUCGAAUCACAACUCAGCUGGCAACCAUCCAUAAGACUUGGUCCGACUCCCUGCUGCUAUUGAAAUGAGAUUUACAUUUUGACAAAAAAAGACAAGAAGAUGAGAUUUGAUUUGAUUUACAUAGAACCUCUAUUCUCUCUCUCUCUCUCUCUCACACACACACACAUGUUAUGUAUAAUAUAUAGAAGAAGAGGAUCUAAUCUAUUGUCAUCGAUUUUAAUUAAACAAAAAGAGAAGGGAUACCCAAUUUUUUAAAUCCA